GCGCAAGCGAAUUAAGGGCGCAUGGAGGAUACCUAGGCUCUCAGAGGCGAUGAAGGACGUGAUAAGCUGCGAUAAGCUACGGGGAUCAGCACAUAUGAUUUGAUCCGUAGAUUUCCGAAUGGGGCAACCCAGUACCAUGAAGUGGUAUUACCCUACGGGGGGCGAACGCGGG
rnacentral:rRNA from 1 species